CGGUGUUUCUCCAUGGCUUCUGCUUCAGUUCCUGCCUCGAGUUCGGACCUUGGCUCCCCUUGAUGAGCUAUGACUCAGGAUAUCCCAUGCUUUUCAGUUGGUGCUAACUAAUGGAACACCAGAAUUCUCUCCUGAGACUCCAGUUGUCAGGAAGAAAUUGCAAAAAGGUUGGACAGCAAGACCUGGGGAGUGUGGAGGACUCCACCAAGCUCCUUCAAUGAUUAAGUAGGAGAGAAGAAAUAUGGACCCUUGUCUUGUUUGAUCCUGUCUCCCUUCAUCUUGUUCUCUUUGGCGAGACUGAUCUCAAACUCCUGGGUUCCUGAUCCUCCUGACUCAGCUGCUACCAUGAACUGCACACAUGACAGGUCAAGGUUGCAGCCCCUACCACUGACAAAGCCACCAAGUCACAAAGAAACAGAAUGCAAUUCAACCAGGUAAUUACAUCAGAAGAACAAAAUCGACCCCCGUGUGACACUUUGCUCAUAUACGGAUGUUCGGAUGCUCGCUCUACAAGCCCAUCUGGCUCCUCUCCAGCUCUCUGCUGCCACACUGGAUGGUUCAUGGACAUGGUUCACGAUGGUCCCUGGGCUCCAACCGUAACACCCACAACCCAGGCUGUUGUGAGGAGAAGAGCAGGAAGAAAGAUGAAUGUUGGCUGUCUUGUUCUGAUAAGUUUUUUUUUCCAGUGAGUUUUAAGGUUCUGAUAUGCUUGAGUUCUAGAAAUCAGACCAUUGGUUCUUUUUAAAAGUUCUUAGCUCUCUGAAGAAAAUUUCCAUUAUCAUUUUCCUUGAAUAUAUAAUGAUAGCUAUUU
rnacentral:lncRNA from 1 species